CUCACCACCUCCCUUUCCCUGUGGUUUGUGGCAUCGCAAGAGGGACAGAAGGAGUCCUCCUGGGUCCAGGCUCUGCCAGGCUGCCGGGAGUGCGAAUGCCCGCAAGCGUGCGCCCGUGGGAGGCGACUGCGCUCUUCCCUCAGGGGCCCAGCGCUGUGGUGAGGAUCCUCACGGUCAGCCUGGCCUCUCACUGGCCGUGGACCAGGACCCCAGGCCGCGCAACAUAGCCCCGAGGCGCCUCGUCAAUGCUCGCGCUCCACCUCACCCCCUCAGCUUCCUUCCUCCAUUCUGCACUCCGGAGAGCAAGCGCGGGCUGGAUCCGAACCUGGGCAAUCCUCUUGCCUUUUAACUUAGUGGUUCCUGGCCCGCUGCCCGCGCGCUAUUUGUGAGGUGUGACCCGGCGAAGGAAGCGCUUGUUGGGCGUGGGGCUCCGCGGCGGUGACGAAGAGGGGGCGCGGGAUAAUGAGCUGGGCAGCUACAAGCUGCAACCGCUUUUAGCUUGCUGAGCGGGUCCAUCUGCAAGCAUGGCCAUGCUCGAACCAGGUGUCCCAAUGCUUUAAGGCCGGAGCACCCAGAUCACGGCGCACUGCGGCUGGGGCUGUUGGGACGUUCCUUUAUUAAUUUAUUUGUGGAGAGCUAUCUCUGAGCAUCCGCGGUGGCCAGCACCAGGAGCAUUGAGCUGGAGCAAUUUGGAAGAACGGGACAGAAGGCCACGGCCAGGGUCGCGGAGAGGUGCUCCCAGCUCCUCCGGGGCCAUCAGCAUCUCUAGCCCCAAGGGCAAUGGGCUCUUCCUCAGCCUGGUGCACAUUGCUCACUGCAACUUCUACUGCACCUCGGAUUUGCAGGACUUAAACUCAGAGAAGAAGGCCAAGAAGGCAUGCUUCUACCGGAAUGGGGACCGUUACUUCAGAGGCCUGGUCUUUGCCAUCUCCAAUGAUCGCUUUCAUUCCUUUGAUGUGCUCCUCAUAGAGCUGACCUGCUUCCUGUCUGACAAUGUGAACCUGCCUCAGGGCGUCCGCACAAUCUACACCAUAGAUGGCAGUCGGAAGGUCACCAGCUUGGACAAGCUGCUGGAAGGUCUGAGCACUUGGGAACAAACAAGCAUCCACCCAUCCAAUCCUUACAGAAGGCCCCUGACUGGACUCAAGAUGCCCCCGCACCCCGAGAUCCCUCGCUGGAGACUGCAGUAAGAUUCCCAGAGGGCCACAGUGUCCACAGACUCUGCCCAGAAGGCGACGAGGACUCCACCGGGGGCCUGGGCCAUGU